AACGAACGCUGGCGGCAUGCCUAACACAUGCAAGUCGAACGAGACCUUUGGGUCUAGUGGCGCACGGGUGCGUAACGCGUGGGAAUCUGCCCUUGGGUUCGGAAUAACAGUGAGAAAUUGCUGCUAAUACCGGAUGAUGUCUUCGGACCAAAGAUUUAUCGCCCAGGGAUGAGCCCGCGUAGGAUUAGCUAGUUGGUGGGGUAAUGGCCUACCAAGGCGACGAUCCUUAGCUGGUCUGAGAGGAUGAUCAGCCACACUGGGACUGAGACACGGCCCAGACUCCUACGGGAGGCAGCAGUGGGGAAUAUUUGACAAUGGGCGCAAGCCUGAUCCAGCAAUGCCGCGUGAGUGAUGAAGGCCUUAGGGUUGUAAAGCUCUUUUACCAGGGAUGAUAAUGACAGUACCUGGAGAAUAAGCUCCGGCUAACUCCGUG
rnacentral:rRNA from 1 species